GUGUGCAGGUGCUAUCGGUGGCAAGGGUGCUAUCGAUCUAGGCGCACCAGAACUGGGAGCUCGCCGAGGUGGUGCUCAAGGUCCAUGUACAGCGACGCUGCAUGCGUUGCGCCCGGCCACGUACCGCGACGCCAGCCACAAGCCCGAAAUGGCCAUUUCUUCAACCCCACCACCAUGUUGGUCGUUUCUUCGAUCUUUGAUAAUAUAGCCAUACUCCAAUCUAAGUUAUUCAAACCCGACGCCUUUUGAGCGCUCCUCCGCGUUCGGCGCAGGUUCCGCCCAUGGCGUGCCAACGCGUGUGUCGGACACGAUUUUUUUUCUUCAAUUCAACAGAAUGAGCAUCGCGUCCGUGAGGCUGCCGGAGUCCCGCAACAGUUUGGACCUCCCAGCCACGCCACCUAUGACGCCGCUACCGGCUCCGAGGACGAGCCAGACCGAGCGCCCAAGAUUCCGGUUCAUGGGAGAGGUCCGCCGCGAGCGCGAGCGGAAACGCUCCCGAUCCCGGUCUCCGUCGGCGGAUCGGGACCGCUACCACCGCCGCCACUCUCAGUCGCGUCGAGGCCUUCGGCGGUGGGUGACGGCUAAGUGAAUGCGGAGGAACUGGAGAUGAUGAAUAUGAUGGGCAUUCCCGUCGGAUUCGACUCAACAGAGGUAAUGCCCCUCUCCCUCCCUCGCAUGUCUAUCUCCUAACCCUAGAUCAGCUGAUCUGUCGCUUCGUUAGCUAACUCGUCCCGUGUCGCUUAUCCCUGUUCUCGGGCGAGGUACCGAAUGAGCCGGUGGUGUCGACGAAGUCAGGGCUCUUGUUCGAGCGGCAGCUCAUCGAAUGCUACAUAGAGGUCCGUAGCUUGGUCCUGGAUCUUGUUUUGCAAAUCUUUUGAUGGGAUUGGGAAAGAUGUUUGUGCUAAAUUCAUGUCGUGAUGGCGAUCAUUCUCUACUGGGUAUACACAGUUACCUUCUUGCCCAUCGUGCUCUACUGGGUGUACACCGACGGCUACCAGUUGAUCCUUCACCCGCUUGAGCAGUACAGGCUCCACACACUGGACGAGGAGGAGGAGAAAUUCGUCAGCCUCUGCACCGUUGUAUGUGGCAUACUCCUACAGCAUCUUGUGCAUGUCAUCCACGUGAUGAUCUUGUUCAUGAUGAUGUCUGUAAGAACUUGGUCAGGAGAUCAAUCCUUGGGUGGGUGAAUCGGCUAGCAAGAAUGGUUGCAAUACUGUGAAAGAAGUGCCUGGCAGAUUACAACAAUUCGAGUCACGGGGGCAUGGUCUAGGUUUUUCGACAUAUAGCUCUGCUAGUGUCUGGGAGCUUGAGUUAUGCGCCCUUGGUGGUUUGUUUAUUCUUAUCAUACCUUAGUUGCCUCUUGUGAUGGAGAAUGAUGUUAUUGCUCGCUAUUACGGACAAGGCAAGGGGAUUGUUGUUAAGGCUAUAUACGAUCGCGAGGUCACCUGGAACCAACUAGGCACACGAGUUAACCAAUUAUCUAACAAUACCUUACUUGCAGAGUUGUUGCUUACUACACCCGGUAUGCUUGAUUCUCUAUUAACAUCAUGCAAUGUAAUUUGUGUUCAUGUGAUGCUUGAUUCUCUAUUAACAUCAUGCAAUGUAGUUUGUGUUCAUGUGAUGCUGCCCUAUUUCUUUAUACCUUAUUAUUUGUUCGAGAACGAAUCUGCUACACACAACAACAACAACAAGCUUAUUCAUGGGCCAUCUUUUCUUAGCUUUGCAUGAAUACUAGCACUUUAUCUGCUUCUUCUCUUCAACUUCUGUGCUUGCAAGCAUACCAAGGCUAUCCUUAUGGACAAUAGAAAGUGGAUCAGUAGCAGCAUCACAUUGGGACUGGUAGAAUCCUCCCAUGGGACAGAAUUAUUUUCUAAACAAAUCGUAAUGUAAUUUAAUAUGUUUUUAUUCUUUCAACAGGCAACACCCUACAACUUCUAUGUGUAGUCCUUUGGCUCCUAAUAGUUAGCCCAUGUUUUCACUUAGAUAGGAUAAUAUAUCGUCCAAUGUUUCUUUGCCUUCAUGCCACUAUUUUCUUUGCCUUGAUGCCACCAGUUUAAUUUUGUGAAGCUCGUUAAUUCGAUCGGAUUGUGAGAUUGUGUAUGAUCUCACAGUUAUAAUCGUCUACACUAUUAUAUUGUAACCUACAUGGAAAUGGAUGGAGCAUAGCCCAACACUACCAUUGAAAUACAGGACGAUGACUCUAUUCCAUAGUAUAAUGAGUUAAGGCAGAGGCUGGUCUAAGAAAUUAAUUCACUUGUGCCACCAGUAAAUUAUCUUGCUAAAACAUUAGCCUAUAGGAUUAUUAUUUGCAUAGCAGUAGGGUUACAGAGGUAAUUCCUCAAAUCACUGAUGUCACAGCCUGAAAGGACACCACUGAGUGCAGUGUGGAUCUGCCCCUAAGUUAAGGUGUUGUUGUCUCUUUUUUCUUUUUCUCUAAAAUGACAUAGGAAAUAUCUCAUUUGCCGACUAUGUUGGGUUCCACUGGCUUGGCUUUAUUUUCGCAUAAUGCCUCCAUAUCCAUAUGUGCUUGUUUCAACUGCAAAGAAUAUGUAGAUAUCUAAACAGGGCUAGGAAAUGAUGAUAGAUUCACUUGAACUAUGUUAUGUAAAUGAGAUGGCCUACAUAGUAAAAACCUACCUUCAGAAUUAUUUUUCUCAUCAUUGCUUAAGUACCUACCGAUGCAGCAUAAGUAAAAGUAAAACUAUGCGGAAAGCUACGAAUGUCCUCUGACCACAGUUUAAUCUGUACCAUAUCAAAUAUUUGUAUGUUAAGAAAAAACACCGCUCAACAAUGGUUGCGAGUGAAAGAUUUAUUUUGGUUAACUUUGCAUGUGUCGUAUACAUUCCCGUAUACAAUUUGGCCUUGAUGACAAUCAAUCACUUUAGAGUUAAAUGGUUGUGAAAUACAAUGAACUCAGAUGCCAAUUCCUUUUUGGUAGAUGGAACAUGACAUAUGGAAUAUUUAUGGAGUCACAUUCUUGUAUUUGUUGUUUGCAGCCUCAAGAAAACUGAAGUUUGAACACAUGACAAUUGAUCGUGCUUGCCUUUUGUGAAUGGACUAGGCUGUUCGCUUGACUUUUAUAGAUGAAGUGAAGUUGCGCUUGUAGUUUUCUAAGGUUUAUGUAUAUAAUUAUGUGGAUUGCAUUAGCCCCAAUAUAAUAUCAUGUAUAUACCUCCCGCUGUGGUGUCUGUCCCUAAGCACAUCACCUAACAUAGGCUUGGAUCCUGUCAUCUUAUUUUGGAUUAGUUUCCUAUAUCUUCAUCUUAUUUUGGAUUAGUUUCCUACAUCUUAUUUUUGAUUAGUUUUCUGAUGUAUCAAGUUUGAUCAUUACGCUAUGUUACACCUCUAUGUAUGAUAACUUGUGCUAAAACAGAAAACAACUGUAACUUUAAUGUAAAUUAUGUUCGGUCUCUUUAUGUUAUUAGUCUGACCAUUGUUUUGUUGCUUUCAUGGGAGAUUACAUCAACAAUUUACCCACAUAACCCUAACUAGGGUUACUUAACAAUUUACUACUGAUUUCCCCUUGUGUUAGAUAGGUCGCACGAAGUGGGAUUUUCUAUGGGAACUGCUAACCGACAAGGUAACUGCAGUUGCAUUCUUCAUUUCUUGUACAUGAUCAAGCACAGUUUCUGUUCUCUUUUUAAGUUUGUAUAUAUAAUAUAGUAUACAAAUAUUCAUAAGAGUAUUGCUUUUCAAAGUUUUUUAAUCUUCGGAUCUCUUAUGAAUACCUAACACCACUGCAAGCAGCAAUAGGAGUUCUUCAGAAGGUAAGUGUAUCUGGCUUCUGCAGUUACGUUAUUAGCAGCUCAAAGGAUAUAACCUGAUGGAGUCCAUUCUAUCGAUACGUGUAGAAGCCAUUGUAGUAUUUUAGGAAACGGCAUGUCCAUACACCUGGGAAUAGGGAGCAGUGCAGUUCUUUAGGAUAAUAGUCUUUUAGAAGUAUGCCAACCUUUGCUCUUUCAGGAAGGGCCAUUUAGAUACUGGGCCAUCGUCAAUGUUGUGGUUUUUAUUGAUAGAUUAUAUAUACAUGAGAUUAUAUGAACAAGUUCUACAAUAAGGGAAUAGGUUGGUGAGUAAGCAGUUUCUUCCAGAACCUUAUACAACAUGUACGGAUGUGCUAAUAGCUUGGCCCUUUGUUAGAAUUAAGACUCCAUUGGCAUUGUCCUUUGAUUUAUUAUUGUUUUUAGCUUACCUUGUUAUUUAAGACUCCAGCUAUUCUUUGUCUUAAAUAUACUAGAAUAAUAUAUUCUUUGUCUUGAGCUACCUGCUUAUCAUGUUGUCUCUUUUUAGAGUUCUUAAGAUCGACCCAUUUUUUUUAAUAUUUCACAUUCCACUUCUACUAUAAGACAACAACACUUUUGUGGUUUCAGAGUUCUUAAGAUCAACACACCUACUUUUGCAUUGGGAGUUACAGACUAAUCAACAGAUCUAUGUAGUUGUAGUGACGAUGCUCCUCCAAAAUUAGAUAUUCAAUUUGAUCUAAGCAGUGAACCCGCAUGUUCACUUCACUUAGAAGCAUAGUACCAAACUUGUAUAAGCAAUACUAUCCAGGACUGGUAGACCUUUGAUAGCUAGCUCUCAACUGAACCAAUUAGGACCCUUGUGAAGUGUGAUGGGCUCACCCUAGAGGUCAAAUGCCAUUGAGAGUUAUGCUUUGAACUAUUUUGGUGUCUUUUUUGCUACUAAGUUUUAUAGUGUCACAUUUGUAGGGUAUCAAACAAUUCUUUGUUGCUGUUAAGAAAGAGGAGUGAAAGUUUGAUACGCUUUGUGAUCUUUAGGGUGGAUUGGUUUGCUAAAAAAAUGUGCACCAAUAACUUCACGAUAUUAGCUAUGCAUAGUGACAUGCCCCAACAAGAAAGGGAUGUAAUUAUGGGUGAGUUUUAAGUCUGGCGCAACUCAUGUGCUGAUAACUACGGAUGUUUGGGCUCGAGGAUUGGACGUUC